rnacentral:lncRNA from 1 species
AGGGGGACUCAAAACGUUUCUAAAUGUAAAACGCUUUUUUGCAUCUAUAUUGUUUUACUACUUUCACAAUUAUUUUAAGUGUAGGCUCAGAGGGGGUGGGACCCCCGGUACUAACAAUUUUUUUAUCAUGUAACGUUAAUUUGGAAUCAGUCACGGAUCGCAAUUUUUACAGUCAGAGACCCUUGAGAGAAGCAAAGCCACAGCGGAUCCUGCUUCGCCCCUCCUUCUCGUGUACUGACACUGGCAGCUAAACCCAUCAUCAUCGAUUAUCUUUUCAAUGAAGAGCAAGGGAGGGCAUACAUUCAACGACGAUUUUGAGCGAGAUUAGCCCAUGAGACUCUCAGAGCCUGAGCAUGAAUCAGGGAAGCGGUGCUUGUUUGUGGACCUCAGUGCCUCAGCACUGCCCCGCACCAUGUGAUCGUUACAAGCAUGCGUCUUGUGCCCACAGAGGCCAUGUUUAUGUACUAGGUGGCAGAGAAACACGCUUACUGAGAGAUUUUUGGAAAUAUAAUAUGGUCUGUGACAAGUGGGCCGAGCUUCCCUGUGAUAGUGAAGAAGCGCCUGAAGAACUGGAGGAGCACACAAUGGUAGCAUAUCAGGUAAUUGCAAUAAAUUCACAAUUCAUUCAUUCCAUGGUUUGCAGUGCAUGCAAA